GAUUGAGAUGUGACAUGCAAGAUAUCAACAUAGUACUGAUAUUACCCUUUAGAAUUACAAAUAGGGUCAUAUCAAGGCAAUGACGUUCCUUUUUUUCCCUUUUCUUUCAUUUCUUGUCCAGUUGCCUUGGAAAAUGUUCAAUAUUUCUGUCAUUCUCUCUCAUUUCUCAGAGAUCAAAUAAGAAUAAUAUAUGUAAGACACUUUGUAAAACUGAAAGUGCUAUGUAAAUGCAAGCUAUGACGAUGAUAAUGAUGAUGAUUCCUUUUACCUUUUCAUUGUUCUACUUGUGAGCCAAAAAAGAUUGUCAUCCUAGAUUCUUAGUAAUUUUAGAUGAAAAUAAACUUCAUCGUCCUCUUCCUAGAUAAUGAUUUGGAACCAAAUGAACUCCCUGACUUCAUACAUCUAGAUAUACUUACUGAAGUGUUAGAGGAACUGCCCAUGCCACCAAAAAUUAAGAAAGUGGAAAUGGAUGAGGAAGCAGUUAAUAAUGAAAAUGAGUCAACAGUUCCAAGUAAGAACAAACAUUAAAAAUAAACGUAUAAAUAAAUGACUAUCA
rnacentral:lncRNA from 1 species